GACGAACGCUGGCGGCGUGCUUAACACAUGCAAGUCGAGCGGAAAACUUCGGUUUUCAGCGGCGGACGGGUGAGUAACACGUGGGCAACCUGCCUCACAAUGAGGGAUAGCCUUUCGAAAGGAAGAUUAAUACCUCAUAACACAAGAGAAAUGCAUGUUUCUCUUGCCAAAGAAUUUCGUUGUGAGAUGGGCCCGCGGCGCAUUAGCUUGUUGGUGAGGUAACGGCUCACCAAGGCUUCGAUGCGUAGCCGACCUGAGAGGGUGAUCGGCCACAUUGGAACUGAGACACGGUCCAGACUCCUACGGGAGGCAGCAGUGGGGAAUAUUGCACAAUGGAGGAAACUCUGAUGCAGCAACGCCGCGUGAGUGAUGAAGGUCUUCGGAUUGUAAAACUCUGUCUUCUGGGACGAUAAUGACGGUACCAGAGGAGGAAGCCACGGCUAACUACGUGCCAGCAGCCGCCGUAAGAC
rnacentral:rRNA from 1 species